ensembl:lncRNA
CUUUUUAAAAAAUUAUUAUUAUUAUUAUUAUUAUUAUUAUUAUUAUUAUUACUAUAUUAUUAUUAUUAUUUAAAAUGAAUGACUCUAGGCCAUUUGUUGCAGUGUUGUCAAGUCUUUGGGAUACCAGUCUAAAGGAUGUGAGCUCAAAUAUCAGCAUCAUCAAGCUGUCACUGUUUGACCCUUGAGCCUUCAUCUGAGCAACUCCGUUUUAAAUUGCUUAAGAUAAAAGCUUCUUUCUUUCAUCCAUUCAUCCAUCCAUAUAUCUAUCUUAUCCUACACAGGGUCACAGGGAGCCUGGAGCCUAUCCCAGGGAGCUCAGGGCACAAAGUAGGGGACACCCUGGAUGGGGUGCCAACUCAUCUCAGGGACCUCCCCAUUGCUUCACUCUCUCCACUGGCUUCCUGUAGCUGCACACAUCAAAUUUAAGCCACUGAAGCCUAUCUACCUUAAGGCACCCAUCACACCCGGCUGUGUACCAUGAUCCCUCUCAAGGUAGAAGAAAGACCUGCAUCAAGACUCUUCUCUGUCCUGGCACCCUGGCAGUACAGUAGGAUUUUCAGGCUGAUGGUAUUCUUAGUCAAUGACCUUGUGAGCUAGCAUGAGGAUGUGUUUUUGAUGGAGACUAUAAAGCACAUACCCUGUCCAGAGUGUACCCCGCCUUGUGCCCGAUGCCCUCUGGGAUAGGCUCCAGGUUUCCCCGUGACCCUGAAGGAAGGAUAAGCGGUAUAGAAGAUGGAUGGAUGGAUGGAUGGAUUAUAAAGCACAUUUGAAAGUUACUCUGGAUAAGGUCGUCCGCGAAAUGCUGUACAUAUAAAUGCACACUAACAUCAACCAGAUACUCUGUGAACAUUUCUGGCAA